rnacentral:rRNA from 1 species
GACGAACGCUGGCGGCGUGCUUAACACAUGCAAGUCGAACGGAAAGGCCCUGCUUUUGUGGGGUGCUCGAGUGGCGAACGGGUGAGUAACACGUGAGUAACCUGCCCUUGACUUUGGGAUAACUUCAGGAAACUGGGGCUAAUACCGGAUAGGAGCUCCUGCUGCAUGGGGGGGGUUGGAAAGUUUCGGCGGUUGGGGAUGGACUCGCGGCUUAUCAGCUUGUUGGUGGGGUAGUGGCUUACCAAGGCUUUGACGGGUAGCCGGCCUGAGAGGGUGACCGGCCACAUUGGGACUGAGGUACGGCCCAGAAUCCUACGGGAGGCAGCAGUGGGGAAUAUUGCACAAUGGGCGGAAGCCUGAUGCAGCAACGCCGCGUGCGGGAUGACGGCCUUCGGGUUGUAAACCGCUGUCGCCUGUGACGAAGCGUGAGUGACGGUAAUGGGUAAAGAAGCACCGGCUAACUACGUG